UUAAGUAGUGUAAAUAAUUAUAUAUUAGUAGGGUAAAAUAGAGAGUUCUAGAACCCCCCGCCUCACCCCUCACCACCCAUCAGUAUUGUGGGUGGGCGUGGUCUGGAGGGAGGGGCGUGACACACAGUGGGCUUGGUCUCUCGAUGGUGGGGUAAUGACCGUGGUCAAGGUCACACAGUGGGUGUUGUCUUUCGAUGGUGGGGAUAAGGGGAGGCGUGGUCUUAUCAUAGCAGAGUAAAGGAGAGGCGUGGUCUCACGAUGGUGGGGGUAAUAGGUGACUUAGGUGGGGUGUUUAGGCCAAUCAAAAUGACGGUUUAAAGUGCGCAUGCGCACUAUAACUUCAUGUCAGUGGUGGGGGAGGUAGCCAUUCGGAAAUGGUUGUUGUCCUCCUACGAUGUCAUCUACUGGAGGGUAAGGUAAACCUCAUGUGAACUGAUAACGAUAACUGAUAAACGUACGUGUAAACAUACACAUUACAUUGAAAUAGUGUACGUCAAAUAGUGGCCGCCGUUGCCACUUUAACAUAUUUACUUAAUAAUAACGCAACAGGGGUGUCCGUCAACAAUUCCUACAUAGGAAGGGAGUAAUGAAUCUUGACACAAACUAACCUGUAAUGGGUGAGGAUGAAACAAGACGUAAACUAAUUUGCCGCACAUCUAUACAUUGUAUAAAAUAAAUAAUUUCUAAAAAUUUUAUCAUCAACUACCAGACGCAUAGCUUAGGAAAUAUUGUGGUAUGAUUUAUUUUUAAUUUUAGAGAAAUUCAGGGGUGUUACACCAAAGUUCCUCCAAUUUUGGAAAAAAAAAAAAAAAAACGAGGUCCUAUUUUACACUUUACCAGGAUACUCGCCCAUACAUUACUAUGGUUCGAAAGAUUUACACCCUGUAUAUAUAAUUAAUAUAAAUGUAUACAUUACAUUGAAAUAGUGUACGUCAAGUAGCGGCCGCCGUCACCACACUUGUCCUUGACUAUUACAGAAGUUAUAAUUCAUUGAAUUAUACAUAAUAAUUAUAAUGUCGUUAUCGGUGGUUACAAUCAAUUAUUUGUCACCGUCGAGAAUGUCCUACAUACAAUCGUUGGUAAUAACACUUCGGUGAUAACAUCUAAGUGGGUAAACCGAAUCAAAACAAUUGGGUAUGACGUGCGCAUAAUGGUUGACACCCAAUGAAAACUAACCCAAGUCGGAGGGGAGGGGGAUCUCCUCUUCCUUCAACAAGUCCUAAUGAGCGAAGGGGUAAUGAAACUUGACUUAAACUAACCUAAUAGGUGGGGUGCGGAUGAAACUCGACGUAAACAAACUUGCCGCAUGUCUAUAGAUUGUAUAUAAUAAAUAAUUUCUAAAAAUUUUAUCAUUGGUUACCAGACGCAUAGCUAAGCAUAUUUACAAAGUCAAAGGUACCAUUAUCGUCCAGACGCAUUCACUCAUUAUCUUUUCUAAAGCGAUUAUACCAAAAACCAUUUGUCAGAUUAUUUCUAUUUGUUGUCCUGAAGAAUUUCUAUGACUUGUUGUCUUUUGAUAUAAAAUAAAAUAAAAUGGAGCAAUUAAAGAAACAGUUGAACGAUCAGAGUACAUUAAAAAAAUAUUUAAAAUUAAGUGAUUUGGAGGAACACACGCCAUACAAAGUCAUAUCUAUGAAUAAUACAAGCACACGAAAUGGGGUUGUCGUUGUUGGUUGUCUAUUCAACAAUAUGAAUGUGUUUAUCCCGAGAUUGAAAUUAACUAAUGAAGAAAUCGAAGCUUACAAUAUCAACAAUGACGAUAACAAAUUACAUUUAUUAUAUAGAGGCAAAAUUGGA